GACAGAGGGUGCGAACGUUGCUCGGAAUCACUGGGCGUAAAGCGCGUGUAGGCGGCACUGCACGUCGGGUGUGAAAGCCCGGGGCUCAACCCCGGCAGUGCACCCGAAACGACGGUGCUAGAGUUUUGGAGAGGCGGAUGGAAUUCCCGGUGUAGAGGUGAAAUGCGCAGAUAUCAGGAAGAACACCAAUGGCGAAGGCAGCUCUCUGGGACGGUACUGACGCUGAGACGCGAAAGCGUGGGGAGCGAACAGG
rnacentral:rRNA from 1 species